UACAGAGGUGGCAAGCGUUGUUCGGAAUUACUGGGCGUAAAGGGCGCGUAGGCGGCCCACUAAGUCAGACGUGAAAUCCCCCGGCUUAACCUGGGAACUGCGUCUGAUACUGGAGGGCUUGAGUAUGGGAGAGGGAUGUAGAAUUCCAGGUGUAGCGGUGAAAUGCGUAGAUAUCUGGAGGAAUACCGGUGGCGAAGGCGGCAUCCUGGACCAUUACUGACGCUGAGGCGCGAAAGCUAGGGGAGCAAAUGGG
rnacentral:rRNA from 1 species